rnacentral:rRNA from 1 species
CUUCUUGAAUUUAAUGGGAAAUAGAGCCUGUCCACUGAGUUUAUUUAAAGGACCGCGGUAUUUUGACCGUGCAAAGGUAGCAUAAUCAUUAGUCUUUUAAUUGAGGACUGGAAUGAAUGGAUUGACGAAAUGAAAAUUGUCUCUAAUUUAAUAAUUUCGAAUUUUUCUUUUUAGUUAAAAGACUAAAAUGUUGAUAAGGGACGAGAAGACCCUAUAGAUCUUGUACAAGUAAUGGAGUAUAAACUUAGUUGUAGAUAUAAGAUUAUAUUAUGUUAUUUGUUUUGUUGGGGUGACAAAAGGAUAAAAUUGGAACUCCUUUUUUUAUAAACGGUCAUUAUAGAAUUAUGGAUCCUGAAGUUUGGAUUACAAGAUUAAGAUACCUUAGGGAUAACAGCGUAAUUUUAUUUGAGAGUUCCUAUCGACAAUAAAGUUUGCGACCUCGAUGUUGGAUUAAGAUUAUUAUAUGGUGAAGUAGUUGUAUAAAUAAGUCUGUUC